ACUGUGAAGUCACAAGAGGCCCUGAGCUCUGUGGGCCCCAGGUGCCCCGGGAAAACUUGGGGGAGAAUGGGCAUCCCACCCCAGCACUUUCUAGGAAGAAGGGCAGCAUUUUGAAGGGCUGGAAGUAGAGGAAGGAGGUUGCGGGUAGAAGACUCCAUACUUUCUGUGACGCCUAUUCCUUAGCUUGUGAUGAAUGUUUUCUCAGUAUCCUAUGCUGAAAACAGGUAGAUACUAAUAUCGAUCUUCAAGGGAGGGCUGUUGAGUAUUGAAUAAGACAAAAACAUGGAAGCAAUCAGCACCAUGCUGGAAUCAAGGCUAUCUGUAAUCACAGGGCUAUUUGAAAAAGAGAAGAAAAGGUGUCUUGAAAUUCAACCAACAUGUUUCAAUUAUUUGCUCCUAAGAACAACAGAAGUUUCAACAUUCUGCCAACAGAGUAACUCCUGGAAGAUUGGCACAGAAGAAGGCACAAGGAAGUCAGUGAUAAAAAUAUUUAAGCAGCUUUGUCUGCCUUAGACCUUCCAACUAAAAGUACAGCAAGUGGAAUGGAAUGCUAAUAUGAGGAUCCAAAUUUUCAGGGAAGGAGGAGAGCCUUUAUAUAACCAAAGAUAUUUUUGGACCAUGAAUUCAGAAAUUCUCGGAGCCACCCAUCAGUGCCUGAGCUUCAGUGAGUCCAUAUCCCAUGUCACCCACGGCAAAGGAGACUCUAAGACUUCUGAAGAGUUUCUUGCUUCUUUCCUGUGGGGCAGUGACUCCACUUCCCAGCAGUAAUGGAAUAUCCUGAAUUAGCUACAUUAAUGUUAGAACCAUUUGGACCUCACCCAGGACUUCAACUACAUUAUGAGUAACUCCUGGACGAUUGGCACAGAAGAAGGCACAAGGCAAAUACCCAUCUCUGUACACCCUGUGCUACUGUGUCAUGUGCUGCUCCAGGCAACUCCAAUGGAUUGGCCACCCUGGCCAAUGUGUUCUAGUAUGUUACGUUUAUGUUCCCCUGCUUUCUACAAUCCUGUUCAAAGAGUUGCUGACUUAACCACAGAGAGGAUUCCAGAACCUGAGACACAGAAUAAACUUGAGCAAUCAUAGUCCAUCCACUUCAUUGUCUCAUCAAAAACCAAAGGUCCAGUGAAGCUCUGGAACUCAACGCUGUAAAGGAGCGAAGGAGCUUCUAUACAGAGCCUGGAUGCCUGUCUCCUUAUCCUACUUCAGUGGACUUGACUGCAAUCCGGAUUAUGCUGUUUUCUAAGCAUUUAAAAUAAAAUAAAAAGUAUAAUAGUGUGAUAAGUUCUUUCACAAAGCAAGCAAUCACAUUUAUGUUUCUACUUACAUUUGGGUUUUCCAAAUAUGUGUGUGUGUGUGUGUGUGUGUGUGUGUGUGUGUAUGUAGACUUUAAACAUGGUGCAUCCAUCAUGUUGCACUAAAUCAAAACCACCAAAUAAUGAUGUAGAACUAAUAAAUCAAAACCAUCAAAUAAUGACAUAGAAAUCCAAUUCUCCCACCUUACACCCAUUAAGAUGGCUACU
rnacentral:lncRNA from 1 species